GACGAACGCUGGCGGCGUGCUUAACACAUGCAAGUCGAACGAAGUGGCGAACGGGUGAGUAAUACGUGGGUAACCUGCCCUCCUUUUUGGGAUAAGCCUUGGAAACGGGGUCUCAUACCGAAUAAAGGGGGAUGGGCUCGCGGCCUAUCGGCUUGUUGGUGGGGUGAUGGCCUACCAAGGCGGUGACGGGUAGCCGGCCUGAGAGGGUGACCGGCCACAUUGGGACUGAGACACGGCCCAGACUCCUACGGGAGGCAGCAGUGGGGAAUUUUGGACAAGGGGCGAAAGCCUGAUCCAGCCAUGCCGCGUGUCUGAAGAAGGCCUUCGGGUUGUAAAGGACUUUUGUUAGGAAAACGGUACCUAAAGAAUAAGCACCGGCUAACUACGUGCCAGCCGCCGCGGUAAUAC
rnacentral:rRNA from 1 species